UACGGGGGGGGCAAGCGUUGUUCGGAAUUACUGGGCGUAAAGGGCGCGUAGGCGGCCUGCUAAGUCGAACGUGAAAUCCCCGGGCUCAACCCGGGAACUGCGUCCGAAACUGGCAGGCUUGAAUCCGGGAGAGGGAUGUGGAAUUCCAGGUGUAGCGGUGAAAUGCGUAGAUAUCUGGAGGAACAUCGGUGGCGAAGGCGACAUCCUGGACCGGUAUUGACGCUGAGGCGCGAAAGCCAGGGGAGCAAACGGG
rnacentral:rRNA from 1 species